rnacentral:lncRNA from 1 species
GAAAAUUCUACUCAUCCAAUCAGUGAGUCAAAACAGAAUUGUAUAGCACUGCUGAAUCUGCAUAUACUGAUGCACAAGGAUCAUCAGAGGUUUGAUAUCAAAAGUCAGCUGUGGAAGCAGGAGUGCUAAGUUUGAAAGGAUAAUUUAAUUGUGCAAUGGAAGCGGUGGAGUAUAGCCACUGUCUCUGAAGAAGAAAAACUUGGAGAAUUAGUCGUUGUUAAUUCAAGUGAUGCAUAUUCAAAUAUAUGUGGACAUGGCCAAGCUCUGCUUCUGUUGUUUCUUCUUAGCAUUUUAAUGGGUGAAGACCAGAAAGAUAAGACUAAGCACAACACAGCACCAAAAAUAUCAUUUCUAUUGUCUCAAGGCAGGAAGUUCAUUCCAAACUUCUGUAAAGAGAUGACAGUCAGUGAAAACAACCGGAAGUAAAAUCUGAGAGGACACACAGGGGUAUCCACAUGGGUGCUUGACCAUCUUAGGCACUGCAAUAAGAUAUCUGAAGUAAUGGAAAUUUAUUUACUUAUUUAUUUAAAUUUCUGAAAACUACGCUGGAAAAUUUGUUCUGUAUUGAGAAGAGUGAAAUCCCUCCACAGGACUCUUUUGCCUCUGAAUUGCCAAGAAAGGAAAAUCAACAGAAGAAAAGGAAUAGAAUCAGUUAAACACAAAGUAGUUCAAAAAUUCACUAUUUUUCUAUGGCUUUUGAAAGAGAAGACAGUAUAUAAAAACAAACAAAGAAUAAAAGUUCAACACCUAAUCUUAUUUUUGGGAUC